UACGAAGGGGGCUAGCGUUGCUCGGAAUCACUGGGCGUAAAGGGUGCGUAGGCGGGUCUUUAAGUCAGGGGUGAAAUCCUGGAGCUCAACUCCAGAACUGCCUUUGAUACUGGGAAGCUCGAGUCCGGAAGAGGUGAGUGGAACUCCGAGUGUAGAGGUGAAAUUCGUAGAUAUUCGGAAGAACACCAGUGGCGAAGGCGGCUCACUGGUCCGGUACUGACGCUGAGACGCGAAAGCGUGGGGAGCAAACAGG
rnacentral:rRNA from 1 species